rnacentral:rRNA from 1 species
UACGGAGGGUGCGAGCGUUGUUCGGAAUUACUGGGCGUAAAGCGCGUGUAGGCGGCCAUCUAAGUCUGAUGUGAAAUCCCGGGGCUUAACCACGGAAGCGCAUUGGAUACUGGGCGGCUAGAGUACUGGAGAGGAGGGUGGAAUUCCUGGUGUAGCGGUGAAAUGCGUAGAUAUCUGGAGGAACACCGGUGGCGAAGGCGGCAUCCUGGACCAACACUGACGCUGAGUGAGCGAAAGCCAGGGGAGCAAACGGG